AACGAACGCUGGCGGCAUGCCUAGCACAUGCAAGUCGAACGAGGCCUUCGGGUCUAGUGGCGCACGGGUGCGUAACGCGUGGGAACCUGCCCUUAGGUUCGGAAUAACUCCCCGAAAGGGGUGCUAAUACCGGAUAAUGUCUUCGGACCAAAGAUUUAUCGCCUUUGGAUGGGCCCGCGUUGGAUUAGCUAGUUGGUAGGGUAAAAGCCUACCAAGGCGACGAUCCAUAGCUGGUCUGAGAGGAUGAUCAGCCACACUGGGACUGAGACACGGCCCAGACUCCUACGGGAGGCAGCAGUGGGGAAUAUUGGACAAUGGGCGAAAGCCUGAUCCAGCAAUGCCGCGUGAGUGAUGAAGGCCUUAGGGUUGUAAAGCUCUUUUACCCGGGAUGAUAAUGACAGUACCGGGAGAAUAAGCUCCGGCUAACUCCGUG
rnacentral:rRNA from 1 species